rnacentral:rRNA from 1 species
UACAGAGGUCCCAAGCGUUGUUCGGAUUCAUUGGGCGUAAAGGGUGCGUAGGUGGCGCUGUAAGUCGGGCGUGAAAUUUCGGAGCUUAACUCCGAAACUGCAUUCGAUACUGCGGUGCUUGAGGACUGGAGAGGAGACUGGAAUUCAUGGUGUAGCAGUGAAAUGCGUAGAGAUCAUGAGGAAGACCAGUGGCGAAGGCGGGUCUCUGGACAGUUCCUGACACUGAGGCACGAAGGCCAGGGGAGCAAACGGG